UACGUAGGGGGCAAGCGUUGUCCGGAAUCAUUGGGCGUAAAGAGCGCGUAGGCGGCUCGGUAAGUCCGCUGUGAAAGUCCAGGGCUCAACCCUGGAAUGCCGGUGGAAACUGGCGAGCUAGAGUCCGGAAGAGGCGAGUGGAAUUCCUGGUGUAGCGGUGAAAUGCGCAGAUAUCAGGAGGAACACCGGUGGCGAAGGCGGAUCUCUGGGCCAUUACUGACGCUGAGGAGCGAAAGCGUGGGGAGCGAACAGG
rnacentral:rRNA from 1 species